ACACCCUUAAAGACGUCACAUUAAUUUUUGCGUGUUACUUAAUUUUCAAAAAUGCUUUCCAUGAUAGCUAUUGACAAUAAUACUUGGAAUACAGUCACUCUUGUCUCACGCAUGUCGUGAGUGGGGAAGGCUGGACCUCGGGUUCUUCACUGGGGCAACAGUCAUAAGGCCAUGCGUGGGAGCUGAAAGGAUAUGGAAUUGGACCAAGUAAGAAAAAUAAGUUGAGUAACACAUGCAGCAAGCUAAAAUUGUAAUUGUGUUUUGACAAUGACAAACAGUCAAUGAGCAAAGAGCUGUUUCCAUAUAAUAUCCAUAACUACUCUGAUCUUGUGCUCUAGUUUCCAUUUGAGCUGCUGCGCCAAAUGUAGAGAACUCUGCAAAAGAAAAUCAAUUUAAGUCAGUAUGGUGAAAAUACAAAGAAAUACUCUUCAUUAAAAUUCAUUCCACAAUGCACUGGCAUGAAGCCAAAGCCUAUUUAUUUAUUUAUUAAAUUUUUUAUGAUUACACCAGGUAUAGAGUAAUAGUGCUAGAGGAUUUGGGGAAAAAACGUCAAGUUUUUGCAUUCCUAAUGAAAAUAAUGUUUAGCUAAAUGCUUUCACAAGAGCACCACAUAGCUUUCAAAAGAGGCGUCAACAAUGUUAGCUUGAAAAGGCUUGCUAGCUCCAGUUUGUCAAACACCGAAAACCAAAUGAACACCACACAACUAUUUUAUAUCAUAUUUAUGAUACAUAUUUUAACCAGCAUGUUGAUAUCUCAUUAGGACAUGGACUAGGCAAAUUAUGGCUUUCAAAAGAGCGCCACAUAGGUUAGCUUUCAAAAGAGGCGCCGGCAACAAUGCUAGCUAAAAGGACAUGAACAAAGGUGCUUUACGGACUGCCGUUUAUACAUAUUGAACUAGCUCAAUUGUACUAAACAGCUCAUCACCGAGAUCAGCUAGGUAAUGUUAGCUGCUCUUACAUUACAUUUGCACUGGGCUAUUAGCGUUAAAUACUCAAACUAGCAAAUAUGUUAUCUAACAGAACACUAACUCAAAUUAGUCCCAGAAUAGACGUAAGGUCUGAACAUCACCAUUUCACCGGCUAACUUAACAACAUUCAGCUAGAACUGCAAACAUGCAUGCUGAAAGUAGGACUCCAACAUUACAUUGCAAAUACUUCUAACUGAAAAGGUCUGCAAUACAUUCAGUUAAAAAUAUAAAGGCAUAGUGAAACACUUACCUGCUCUUGAACGCCGUCAAACCCAGAUUUUCCCAUGGAGAAUUUGAAACCACAGCGACCUUCUUCCAAGAGGACGUUACUGCUUACAUCACAGCAAUAUGCACAUGUGAUUGGAUAUAACGUCUUCUUCUUCUUGUUUUACAGCAGUUGGUAUCCAGCUUAUUGGUGAAUUACCGCCACCUUCUGCUCCGGAGUGUGGAUCAGACAAUAGAUUUACACUCUAAAUCCCUUCACCCUAAGCUAUAUUUUAUUCUCCAUGCUUUACACCUAGUCCUACUAUAAAAUCCCUAUCCAUGUCAGCCACCCUAGAACCCUAUACCUGCUUAUCCAUCAUAUCCUAUAAAAAAGUAAUAAAAAAAAAAAAAAACCCUGCAUUGGAUAUAACGUGUUAACGGUCCAAGUGUAAACGCAAAUGUUCUGACAACCCACCAGUAACGUUUCAAAUGAAGUAAGGAUGAGGACUGUGAUAUAACGUAAUUGUUAGGUUAUUAAAUUACAUCGUAUUUACGUAAUUCUGUAACGUUACGGCAACGUUGCAGAACAGUCUCCAUGAGGACUGGUUAUUUUGCGACCAUAGAGCAAUGUUGUCACAACAUCACCUGUUGGUAAUGUUGCGACUUACCAAAUUAUGACCAAAGUGCAACGUUGGUAUUACGUAGUGUAUUUCUCGGGAAACAGACUUAGCUAAACAAUGGUUUCAGUAUCAUUGGUGGCUUGCAUUAUUUGUAAAUAUGUGGCGGGAUAGACCAUUCCUUUAUUAGGGGUCCUACGAAGUAGGAACCCUAUUGUUUUUUUUUUGUAUUAUUAGGGGCCAAGCACCGAAGGUGCAGGGCACCUAUUGUAAUCGUUAGUAUUAUUAUACUUUCCGCAAUGGGAGUCUAUGGCAGCCCAUAGAACCCAUUGGUGGUUUUUUAUGAAAUUUGGCAAAUUGAUAAAGGACAGUCCAACGUAUCCAGGCAUCGCAUUUGGGGUCAAUCCAUCAAUCUUUGUAGCGCCACCAGCAGGCCAAACUUGAAGGCACAUUAUUUGUGGGGAUUGUUUCCCCUGAAUCCUUGGGUCAUGCCGAUUCCAAUGCACCCAUUAGGGUUAAAACAUGUCAUAAUGGAUUUUCUGCCAUUUUGAAUUUUACGAAAAACCUACUUUUGCAAACUAGUCCUAGGGCGUUGAUCCAAUCACCACCAAAUUCAGUUCGUAUGAUCUACAGAUGGUGCUGACCAAAAGUUAUUCACAGAAUUUUGCUAAAGUUAUUUACAUGGCCACAAUGAGUCAAUGAAUAUUGAGGAGGGCGUGGCUUGAAACAUGAAGGUAUGUAAAUUCUGAACGGUUUCACCUAACACCAUGAAACUUGGUAGGCACAUCAGCAGACAUAAGUGGAGUCUAACCCUCCAUUUUCGGCCUGAUCAAGCAAAGUGGUGGCGCUAGA